rnacentral:misc_RNA from 1 species
AUGUUAAUAGUAAGCUGCCAAAGUACCCCGACGUAAAAGGACGUACCUAUACCGACGGAGGGCUCGCUUUCUGUCCGUCUAUUUGCCACCUUUCCACCGCCAUCUCGCUUCCCUCUCUUCCAUAGAGCCCCUCCCUUCUUUCUCUCUCUCUCCUCUUCGGUCGGUCUGGACAUUCUUUUUUGUUUUGUUUUGUGUGUGGCUGUGCGUGUGAUCGUGCGUGUGUGUCUCAGGUAGCCCACGGCCAUCGCGAAGCAGCAGACACCACAGCGCAUCUUUUUGCAUCGCAACGAAAACGCGCGCACACACACACAUAUACAUACAUACAUACAUACAUAUAUGUAUAUGUGUGUGUAUGUAUAUGUGUAUACCUACUCAGCAAAACACCAAAACAAAACUGAACACACGCAAAGUUGUAAGCGGCUGUAGCACGACGCAGGCCAAAAACAAAACGAAGAAACGUGAGGAAAAAAAAAGGAGCCGAGAGAGACACACACACACACAGUAACGGAUCGACCACCCAAGAGCGAAUCGGACCUUCGCCAAAACAGCAAUAACUACACAAAGAAGGACGCGCUGCACCUCGUCUCUCGCUCCAUACGCCUCCUCUGCUCUCUUUCUUUCUCUUUUUCAUUCUUGUUUGUUCCUCCCCCUGCCCCCCUUUUUACUCUUUUUUUUUGUGUUUGUCUCUUUCUGUGUUGUGUUGUGUUUUCUCCCCUCUUAUCUCCUCCCGGUGAGCUGUGUAUAUAGACAGCUUCCUCUACGUAUAACCCCCCUCUUCCACAACGGCAUCAACACACACAUACACAUAUAUAUAUAAAGAGUAUACACAUCACGAAAAAAAAGCGAAGAGGCGGCUUUUUUUUUUCGCAUUGGCCACCCCCUUGCCUCCCCCCAUCCAUCCUCCUCCACGCUUAGUUCACCUCUCCUUUGAUCCUCCCCCUUAUCAACUCGCAGAUACGCACACACUCGGCCACUAUUAUAGCCACGCCUCACGGUCAGCCACGGCAAGAGCGUCAAGAGGGAGAAUAAACACCCUUGAAAACGUGUCUGCGUUCCUUCGUGUCAGCCGCACGGCACACGCGAAGCCACCAAGAGAGAGAGAGAAACGGAGAAGGCGCCGAAGACCGACGGAAAAAGGGGGGAUAUAGAAAGAGGAACAGAAAACGGAAAUCGGUGCAAGAGAAGAAGCCACCGCCACUACUCAAGCUCAUUCUUGUGUGCUGUUGUCCGUUGUGCGCCCAGAUCUGCCUACGAGCACAAAGUCUCAUAGGCACACAGAAGGCAAGAGGGACACGGUAAAAGAAGACAAACAUCCAGGUGCCGUCCCUCCCGCGUGUUUGGAAAUCUAUCUGCAUCUGCCGAGCUUUCUUGUGCCUGCAUCUCGUUCUUCUGUGAAGUGAUUAGACGCCCCUUCUGCUCCUCCCUCCUUGUUCCCUUUUUUUUUCGCUCGCGCGCGUGCUUGUGCGUGUGUGUGUGUGGGCGCAUCACACAGUGGUAAUCUAUAGAGAACGGGCGAAACGUAGCGCAGCGGCCCCACAACACUGGAAGUGCGCUUUUUUUGUUUGCCUUAUUUCUGCUGCUUCUCUCUCUGCAUAUCUGUCUCUCACUAUAAGGAAAGAGGGAAGAAGAGGGUCUUCGCCGGCGCGCGUGUGUGGGUGGGACGCUGCUCCCUCUUUGGACCCCCUUUUUUCUCAAACAUUAUAUAUCCUGUUCGUUUGUUGAUUCAUUUUCUUGUUAGUCUUUCACUCAUUUCGCUUGUGUAUUUUUGUUGCUGCAUCGCUUGUGCGCGUUCUUUUUUUUGUUUGGUUAUUGGUUUUCGUCUCUCUUUCGACUUGCUGAAAGCUUACACCCGCCACACCCUUUUUUCUCUUUUCGUUUUUUUUUAUUUUGUACCCUUCUUCUUCCCCUUCCCUUUUUUCUGUUUUUUUUUUUUUUUAAUCUUCCUAUCUUGGUGCGUGUGUUCUCGCUUCCUGUGCUGUCCUGUGUCGCUUUCUUCGUUUCCUCGCUCCUUCUGUGUCUUUUCUCCUCGGUCUGCUCUGUCUGAUUAGAUCAUUUACCUCCACACACAACUUCGAAACAUUUUCCCCGUUUUUUUUGGUUGUUUUCCUUGCGUAUACGUUCGCCACACCACAGCCGCCAUCAUCAUCGCGAGAUACGACGAGAAGGACUGAAAGAUAGAGAGAGGUAAAGAGAGAGACCGAGCCAACGAGCCCAAACACAGGAAAAGAAGAGGCGCCUAUCGAGCAAGUGGUUGUUUCAAACGCGAAAACGAAAAAAAAAAAACAAGCGAACAGAGCUAGCUCAUUCAUUUCCGUGCUCUGCUUUACUCUCUCCCUCUUCCUUUCAUUCUUUUCGUUUUGUUUGUUUCUCUGCCGCUUGCCACCCCACCCCUUUUUUUUCUCUCCUGUAUUGAGAAGGGCAUUCCUUGGGCGUGUGUUUGGCCUGCGCGAGGCUCGGUAAUCGUGAACGAACACGAGCCGACCACAUCGACUGUUUGUGCCGCGCUCUCCCCCCUCCUCCCAAUCACUCCUCUUUCUCCUGCCUUGCGCUGCGCCCUUUUACUCUGCUCUCUUUGUCGUUUUUUCCGGGCCUGUGCUUUCGGCUCUUCACGUCUGUCUCCGCCCCCUCUUUUUCUUUUUUGGAGGGCACAUUGCGUGUGCCGAUCGACGACGACGGCAACGUGUGUGCGUGGGUGUGACUGCACGCCUGUGCAAGUACGGGCGUGUGAUACAGCAGCGCUGUCCAUCUCACCCCCUCUCUCUCGUGUUAUUUUCGGCUUUCCCCCUUUUCCCCUACAGUAGAAACUCGUUAUUUUUUUGGUCGCCCCCUCUUUUUUUCUUUUCCUCGUGCUCGUGCUUUUAUACCCCCACCCUCCGCUAUUUCUCGUACGCCCCCUUCCCCUCCUUGCCCCUCUUCCCUUUCUUUUGCUUCGACAUCGAUCUUUUCAUCUUGCGUAUACCUCAUUGCCAGCCCCAACCCCCAACUUCUCUCUUAUACUCUCCACGUCUCGCUGCGGCCGGCACCGCUACUGUCACACUGUCGUGCGAGCCGACUCCUGUGUCCUCGCUCCUUUUUUUGCCCUCUUCGCCUUCCCUUUUUGACUUUGCCGUAACUCUUCAGUGCUUGCUUUCUUCCAUUUCUAUCUCUUCGUUGUUGUUCCCCCUUCCCUAGCUGACAGCGUACUGUAUAGACGUAUAAAACCAGAGCGCCAGAAGAACGCAUCCAUACACCCGAUAGACUUAUUGCCUCCGCCGGCACUUGCUUGUUGUGGCUGCUUGUAUGCUCCACGCGGGGGGUGUAUACCAAGGUCGCACAUAUAUCCCCUCCCCCUCUGUCCUCCCCCCCCAUCACACGCAGACAGACACAGAGACACAUACACACAGGUAUAUAUAUAUGUAUACCGGCCUCAGUGGCGCAAGCCUCACAUACACUCCGCAACAACUACUCACCCUGCUCCCAACGCGACCUCUCACUACUCACCGUUCUCACACGUGAGUGGCGGCGCAGUGCUACGCUUCGUUGCUUCUGUUUUUGUUUGUGUUUCGUGUGUGUGUGUGUUCUCUGCUGCAUCCUUGUUUGCACAUUUCUGAACAUCUCUGACGACAAGGACCAGGGUGCUGGCAGACAGCAAAACAAGUCGUAAGGAGCACCAGAGUGGCAUACAUCGCCGUCGCUCUCCUCUCCAUCUCUCACGCUCAGCCCAGGGGCGAGGGGACAAGGAGUGGGUCUUGAAGGUGCGCAGCGGAGGCACGAUUAAGGAUUUGUUCUCUCUUACACACACAAAGAAAACGACGAAAGAGGCAAACCACAAAAAAGGCGACGAAACGAAGGAAAGCCUUUCUCUUGCUCUCUGCUUGAGCGUUUGCGUGCGUUUCUAUCUCUCUCUCUUGUAUGUGUGUGUGUGCGUAGGUUUGCCGUUUUUCUGUUCUGCCCCCCCUCCCACAUACUUCUUGGUGUCUGUACGCGUUUUCUUUUUCUUUUUGCCUUCUUCGUGUGUCUUCCUAUCUUGCAACGUCUUCUCGUGUCGAGUUUGUGCUUGCGUCCUCCUUUUUGAUCAUACCAGCAGCGCUAUUCGGUUGCGCUGCGCUCCCUUCUUUCGUAUUAUUGUGUCUUCGGUAUCCCUGCUAGCCGACGCUGUUAUUCGCAACUACAAGCUGCCAUUGCUGCUAGCAUUGCCGCGCGCUCGUUCUCUUUUCGGUUGUUAUCCUGCCAUGCCGAGCUCUAAUCGCGUACGCCACCGCGACUCCGACGUGGCCGCGGCCACCUCGGCGAUGGAGGAGCCCUCGUCGCCCAAUGUUGAUAGCAAAACUGUUGGCAACGCGAGAACCCCCUUCGCAUCGCUUAGUGCUUCCUCAGCGUUCUCUACGGCGUACAGUACGGUCUCUGGUGAUGUGGCGCACCCCUGUGUGGACAUUGCCAGCGGCGCCGCCCCCUCGGACGAGGUCUCGCCCUUCACCAACGCUCUUCUCAUGUCGGGCGACUCCACCCCGUUCGCAGGCUCAUUUACAACGAAGACGGCGGCUAGCUUUCUGCACGUGACGAGCUUUAACAGCAGCGCCACCGUCGUUACUGGUGAGUUGCCGAGUCUGCAGAGCGAGCACGUCGCCACUACGGCGGCCUCUUGCUUUGCCACUAGGCCGAGAGGUACAGAGGCGCCGGCAGCGGCAGCGGCGGCCAGCGCCACGAAUCCACCGUCACUACUGCGCCCACUGGGGAGUGCUCCGAUUGAGGGCAGUGGCGGUCAGACGCAACGUUCCGGCGAGGCGGACGCCCCGGUGCAGGAUGGAACGGCUGCGCCUCCCUCUUCUCCGCCGAUAGCAAGGGGCAGCGUCAGUGCGUCUUUCAGCGGAGACAGCAGCAGCCGACGCUCCCAUACUCUGCGGAGCGGCCUAUCAGAUGAUCUCCAGCUCACACAGACGGCGUGCUACCUGUCCCCGCUCGGCUCUGCCGGAAGCCGCGAGGUGCAGCGGAGUGGCGAUGAUAUCGACGCUCGGUGGGCGGCUGAGAAGGAGAGCAUGCUGUCAGCAGAGCCUGCGCGGCCAACCGCGGGCAAUGACGGCUUUGCUGCCGAGGGAAGCGAAGGCGCGAUGGAUGCUGCGACGCAGUGCGCGUCGACGGAUGUGCGUGCUGCUGCGUACACGGUGCCAGCCAGCAACAUCAGUACCACUGUUGCGGCAACUGCGACCGACGCUGCCCCACCUCUCUGUCCUGAAUUCGAGGUACUGGCGACGGUUCCAGCGCCUCUAGUUGGGCGAGUGCCCAUGCGCAUCCACUGGUGCUGCGCGGCUCACUGGCGCGCGGUGCAGCGCACAGAGAGGGGGGCUCAGUGGGCCGUCGACGGCGCCCCUGCAGAUGUGUAUUGCGUGCCAGCCCACCUGAACGCGAAGAGGGGGAGACGGAGCUUGUCGGCCUCUUGCGUGGAGGCCAAGCCGGAGUUGGAGCGGGACGGCAGGGGCUUCUCGGGCGCGGGCGAGAACACCGCGUGGCUCCGUGAUGCGGCGGAUGAGGGAAAGCCGCAGCACUGGGAGGUGCGGACCCUUUCGUCAGCUGUUGACGCGCCCGGCCCAACGUUGUGCGACGACAGCAACCAUGCCGCUGAGCACGAGGAACACGGUUCGCUGAAGACUCGCUCGGGCUUGCCGCAGGUGCACAGCCACAGCUGCACUGAUAUGCUGACGUGCGAGUUCUGCGGCCACGCGGUCGAGACGUACCACUCUGAGGACUGUGACGGCGAGGCGUCGGAGGCUAGCACAUCGACGACUGAGACGGGGCGUGCGUGCAGCGCCCCUCCUGGGCGGUAUCAGGACUGUCACGGCUGUGCUUCGGCAGAAGCGCGGUCGCUGUCUUCUUCCAAACUUGUGGCGUGCAGGUCGAAUCAGCCGAGCAUCUUUACGCCGCAGCUGUUGCUGUCCUCCUCGGAGUCGGCAGAGACGACGGUGGACUUGGACAUGAGCGGCGCCAUCUCAUCCGUCGAUGUGCCGUCGCGGUCAGACAGUGCGCGUGAAGAGGCGCUGAUGGCAGCCGUCGCACUACUCCAGUAGAAGACUUUCCUGAAAGCCGUUGUGGGGUGCGUGAAGUGAGGAUGACACGGGACUCUUCGUGUGCUCUCAGUCUUCGCAUCGUGCCGGCCGCCGUGCCCUUAUGUGUGUAUUUAUUCUCGCUCUGUCACUCGAAGGCAUGUGCACGCGCCCCCCUCCCCCCUCACCUAAGAGCUUCGGCAUAACGACAGUCCACCACACAGGCAGCGAGGGCGUCAAGGGACUAGGCUUAACGGGAGCGGGAGGUGUGGAGGGCAGUGAGUAGACUUUGCGGGGCAGCCUGGCUGCGUCAUCCACCUCUGUGCUCUCCGUUGUCCGCUGUUCUCUUGUGCCGUUGAGCCAGCAUGCUUCCUUUUUUUGUUCCUCCCUAUGUCUCGCCGUGAAGGACAUCGUAUAUAUAUAUAGGUGUGUGUGUGUUGAUGUUGGCUAUAUGUGUGUCUCGCGCUUGCACCAGCUCCCCACUCCCCCCACCCACCGACCUACCCCAUCCUCUUCCUUGUUACUGCUGACUUGUAUCUCGUUUCUCUCUAUCUUGUGGUCGCUCCUCGCAUUUUUUUUUCGCUGCCUGAGAUUUCUCAGCGACGCGGUGAUGUGCGCUGCCCUGCCCUGUCCUGCCCUGCCCCUUUCCCGCCUUUUUUUUUUUGCUUGGUCGCUCUCGCGCUCGCUCUGGCUUAUACACAUCCGCCUGCCCUUUUUCACGUUUUCGUUCCGCAAUACACCAGCCGCCGCGCGCUUCGACAUAUCGACACAAAGCAGGAGAAACGGGCGGAGACGAGAGAGGGAGAGAGACGUUGGGCUUUUGUGUAUAUGUGUGUUGCACGUGCCGCAUCCAGAUGGUGGUGGCUGUCAGCAACGCUGUGCAGUGCCACUGUCUCUGCUUCACACCUCGUGUGCGCCCUCCGGCGGAUCUCUUCCUAUGUGGCUAUUCAGGCUUGAUGCAUACGCACGCCGAGGCGCCGCGCUGCGCUUCUCCGCGGUCUCUGCCUCUCCCUCCCUCUCUUUGCUUUAGGGGAGGGCGUGCGUGUGCUGCUGGCCGCAUCUUGCGUUGUGCAUGCCGGUGUUUCUAUGUCUGCUUUCGCUUUUAUUUUUCGGCUUCGCAUGGCGCAUGCCUGUAUGUGUGUGUGUGUGUUGGUGUCUCUCUUGUUUUGUGCGCUUCGCCCUACAUGGGCGGAUCCUCUCUCUUAUGAUAUACACUCCCUCCUUCCCUACCCUGCGAGGCACGUGGACACACACGCACACACGCACACACGCACACACUCUACAUGGAUACCGUUGUGGCCUCCUUUUCUUUCUCUCGUCACGUCUUCACUUUUUUUUUUUAGUAUUAUUCACUUUCAGCUUCGCUGUUGAUGUCGGAUCGCUUUCUUUCUUUUUUUUUUUUGCUGUCCUGAAAGCGUCUUCCCACCUGCGCGCUCUCUGUCCAUCUCUCCUCUCUUUUCGCCCCUCGUCACGAACACCGCGCUAGCGCGAUAGCGAACCCGCGCUCUUCUUCGAGGUUGCACUUCGCACGCUUGGCAGAGAGCCAUCGGCAAAGCCGGAGCAGGCAAAGACGGGUUGGGCUUUCUCAGUACGUUUUUGUUUAUUUUUAUGUUCGACUUGUUUGACAUCGUUUGCUUUUUUUUUGUGUGUGUUGCGUUUCCGUUUUUCAUUUUCUUCCGGCACAUCUCUUCGCGCUUCGCAUUUUCUUUGCUAGUCGCCACGAUCAUCUCUGCUGCUUCUUAUGUGCUCCUCCCUUCGCUCCCCGUUAUAUAUAAUAUAUAUAUAUAUAUAUAUAUUAUAUACACCCACGCCACGAUCAUGAUGAGCGCCUGAAGCAAAUUUGACCCAUCUCCUCAUUUUUCUCUGCUCGCUCGCUCUGUUUGGGGUGUGUAGGGGAGUCGCAUGCCCACGUGAAACCGGCAGUCGUCCUUUACGACGAAGUGUGUUUUGAAUGUGCAUGCUACGCACACAUAAACACGCACAGAAGUUCACAGGCGAUGCACGUCUUCCCUCUCCUUUUUUAGCUCUUUUGGGAGUCGAAUUGAGGGAUGGCACGCCGCACCGACGAGGCUGCGCUAGAUACUUUUCCAAUCGAAACCGACAUGUAAGCAGGCACAAAACGCCACAGUGGCGUCAUCAGAGAGGCGCGCCUCUCUCUUUCUAGAAUGAAAGAUGAUCUGCUUUUCUUGCUCACACUGCAAUAAGACGAGCGACAAAAAAUACAAACGAAAAACACACAGAAAGACAUUGGCGCCAGCGUGUGGAUGCAACAUUACGUGCUUCGAACUGUUGCUGUGCGCACGCACAUUCAUGCAUACACACACACACAUAUAUAUAUAUAUAUAUAUAUAUAUAUAUAUAUCAACAACAGAAAAAAAACGCAAACGUAUGCAGGAUGUGGCGAAUGUGAAGCGCACGCCCACACAGAGAUAAGCCGCUUUUAACGCACAUGCAGAGCACCGCUCGACCUUGACGUUUGAUUUUCUUUUUUUCUUAUAGCGCUAGUUCGCUUGAGUUACUUCUUUUUGCUUGCUCGUUACACCUGUACGGUUAUUUGUUUAUUUUCAUGUGUGUCUCCCUUGCUUUCGUACCCCCGCUUCUUUCUCUGUCAAGCCUCCUCGUUCCCUGGGCUGUCCACUGGUGCGCGUAUGUGUCUUCUUUUUUUUUUAGCUUUUCGAGGCUUCUGUGUGACUACGCCUUCGCCUUUCCAUUUUUUCUUUCUGGGCUAACUCAUACUCGUCUUCACGUUAUCUCGCUCGCUCGUUCACACCCCCUCCCUCCCUCCCUCCUUCCCUUACGGUCUACCCGCUGCUGCUUCUAUGUUUUUUUUUUUACUGCUUUUUCUCUGUUUCGACCACCCCCUUCUCUUCCCAUUUUACCAACACCCACAACCAGCAUAUAUAUAUAUAUCUGUAUAUAUAUAUAUGUAUAAGCGAGAAAGCUAAGCGUCUUCCGUGCGAUCCCAUCCGUUUCUUCUUUCGAAUUCUUUUUUUUUUGGUGGCUUGGUUCAUUAUAAUAUGAGCGAAGUUUUUGUGUUUUGUCUUGUGCGUGCAUGUGCGUGUCUCUCUCUCUUGGGGGUUUCUUUCGUUGCUGCUCUCGGUUGUUUUUCUUCGCUCUUCAACUGCGAAAUGAGCAGCUGCUUUGAGCCGCUGUGCGCAUGCGCGCUCUCUACAUUUCGCACUUAGAUUCCUUCUUUUUCUUUUUUCUUGGCUUCCGUGCGUGUGUACCUUUUUUUUUGUGUGUAUUCGUCGUUUUGCUUUUUUCCUGUUUUGCUGUUCUCUUCUGUGAGAGCCUCCCCUCGUGGCCUCCCCCACAUCUCACCUUUGCGUGUGCGUGUGUAUCUCCCUCUCUCCGCUUUUAUUGAUCUCCGUCUCAUGCGGUGCGUUCUUUUUUUUUCUGCUUUUCAGCAUCUCUCUCCUCCCCCCUUUGCCCUCCGCCCUUCCGCUAUCGGCGAAGAAGUCUCACCGUCGUCUCCAUGUCUCCUUCGCAUCCUGCCCACCCCCUCAUGCAUAAGACACUGCGAGAUGGCAUACAGCGGUGACGGUUUGCCUUCCUCAUAUAUAUACACAUACGCAAGACACACACACACACAUACACACAGAAGCAGACGCUCAGGCGGUUGGAAGAACGUCCAGCAGAAUUGUGUGCCUGCUUGCAUCACUUUCGUUUCGCUGUGCUCCCCCCUUUGCUGAUCUCUUCUUCCGUUUUUUUUUUAUGUGCUUUCCCCUUGCUUCGCUUCGACCGCCCACCCACCACCCGCUGCGCGCUUUUUUUGUUUGUGCGGCUAUCCAUCAUCUUCGCACUCCGUUUAUCGCUCUCUGUCUUUCUCUCUCUCCUUCACCUUUCUCUGCGCUUACUCUACCGCCAAGAUGCCAGUGCGGCGAGGGCGCAUCCACCGCUUCUCCCUAGUGCGUGUGUGCUUGCGUAUCUUGGUAUGCCCUUCUCUCUCUGUGCGUGCGUUGGCUUUUUCCCCUUCGCCUGAAAAAGCCUCGAGAGGGCGAUAGUGGAAUCACAGGCAGCCGCGGCCGCUAGACGUAUCUCUGGUCCUGAUACGGAAGCGGGAACUUCUCGGGCUUUGGGCGCUGAUGCGGGUGUGAACGUGAAGCACUGAAACGAAAGAACGUAAAAAAAAAACGACUCGAAAUCGUCUCAGGAGGUGGGGUAUUGCCUCGCAUCACAUACCUCUGGCCACCGAACCCGGAUAGCGAUACAUAUAUAUAUAUAUAUAUAUAUAGAAGAUAGAAACAACAAAAAAAACGUUGUAGCGGGUUGCGUGCAAGGGCGUAUGCAGGCACCUCGCGCUGGCACACGCAUGGAGAACAGAACGAGGAAGUCAGCGUCACGUUCAAACUCGAAUACAGAGUCCAUGUGAAACAAAACGUACACGAUACAAACUAACAUCCUGCGGUGUUUGCGGCAUCAGCAGCACCCCUCCCCCUCCCUCCCCCGCUUUAUUAUUUGCCUUUCGACGUUGAUUCACCACUCUCCCCACCCUCGCUUUUUCUUUGUUUUGCUCAGUGUGCUCUUAGGCCCGAUUACGUGCACUAUAUUGCAUUCCCGCUUCCUCUUUUUGUCUCUGCGUCUUUUUCUUCUACGUUCCGCUUUUUGUUUUUGUGUGUGUGUGUGUGAUCCCUCUCCCGCUAUGCCCGUUUCUAUUUUUCUCGCAAGUGCUCUCUUCUGCACCCCACCACCCCACUUCUCUCUUGCAGCGCCAUCACGUUCGGAUACACGUACGCGUUCCUGUUUUAUCUGCUUCAUUCCUCUCUUCUUCUUGUUCUCCGUGGGCGAAGUUCGCCUAGACAGCCAGCCGCACGGCGACACAUACGUGACCCACACAUGACGUAAAGAAAAAAAGCCACGCGAGUGCUUCAACAAGAGGACGCUUUCUUUCUUCUGUUCCCCCUUCUUUUUUCCCUCCCACUUUCUCGAAGAGGUUUGAGGUGCGAGCAUUGGUGCUGUGCUGCAGCACCAACUGCUGCGCUUGACAUGGUGCUGAUGCAGGCGAGAGGCAUCAGCGGCAGAAGGUGCCUCCGAUCACCUCGAACCUUUUAUUUUGCUGCAUUAUCUGCAUGUUUGCGUCAUACACGAACCUUACUGUGUCGUCGGCAUCUCGGCAUCUCCCCUUUCCAUUGUUACCUGCUAUAAGCCGCUUACGUUAGGUGCGGUUGCAUAUCAUCCGCUGAACAGGGCAGGCGGGGAAGGGGGAAGGGGCUGAGGCUGCCAUCCUCGACAUUGUCUUCGCCAACACCUAUGUGCUCUUCUUCCUCCUCUGCUUUUUCGUCUCCUUCGCUUUCUUUUUUUUUGUUUGUAUGGAGCUUCCUAAGUCGUACAGCGCUGUCGCCUCCUGCUUCUCGUUUUUUUUUUCUAUCUCCCUCCUCCUCUCCUCUCUCUGCUACUUCGCUCCUUUUACUUCAUCAUUCCAAGGUCAAACCUUCUUUGUUGUUGUGUUUUCGUGUUUUUUUUUUCUGUGUUGAUGGCUCUCUCCUGCUUUUUUUUUGUGUUUUCGUCACGCGCUUUCUACUUUUUUGUCGUGUGCCGGAGUGCUGUGUGCUGCUGUCGAUGUCUCCUUCCUCCCUCUCUAUGUGUAUGUGUAUGUGUGUGCGUGUGCGUGUUGGUGUGGGAGGUGAUCUGGCAGACUCGCACGCACAUUCCUUUUUUUUUUUCGCCACGUGCAUCUCUCUUUCUCUCCUUCUUCUCUCCCCCUUCCCCCGCUCUGUGGUGACUCUUCUCGUAGAGGGCAUAAGGCCUGUUACUGGCGCCGUUGAGAAAGAUGCGCUUAUGCGACACUCAUGCGCACCUCUCCCCCUCCCUCCCUCCCACACACGCACAUACACAUGCGUGUGUGUGUGUGUGCCACGCAUAGGAGCGUGACUGAGGGAGAGGUGCCGCGAGCCAGUGCCUGAAAGGAAGACCAUAUGAUCGGAGGAUUGCACACCUGAAAACAACAAUACAGAAAAAAAAAAGAGAGAAAACAAGCGCGCUCGCGACUGAUCUGUGCUUGUGUGUAUGUGUGUGGGUGUGAGCGCUGCUGCGUGUGCCUGUGCACCGUGCACUUGUGCUCAUAGGGUCGUGGCAUCCGGUCUCUCUCACCCCGAUGGUUUCAACCCAUCUGCUGGGGGAGGGUCAGGGUUGGUGCCGACCCACCCUUCGCCUUUUUCGCCUUUACAUGUGUGUGGGUGCGUGUGUUGUCGGUGUUUUGCUGCUGCCGCUGCUUCAUCCAUCGAUACCCAGUAGUCCAGGCCAUGCUCUCCGCGUUAUCGGACCUUGCGCAUACACAUAUACACUCAAGUCCUCCUUCCCAGCAGAAAAGCAACAGGAAGAGUCACGAAAAAAAAAAAACAAAAAGAAAAGACCCUCCACGGAGUCCAUCAUGCACUCACACCUCUGCCUUCGCGUGACUAACGGUGGC